rnacentral:rRNA from 1 species
GACGAACGCUGGCGGCGUGCUUAACACAUGCAAGUCGAACGGUAAGGCCCUUCGGGGUACACGAGUGGCGAACGGGUGAGUAACACGUGGGUGAUCUGCCCUGCACUUCGGGAUAAGCCUGGGAAACUGGGUCUAAUACCGGAUAGGACCCUGGGAUGCAUGUCCUGGGGUGGAAAGCUUUUGCGGUGUGGGAUGGGCCCGCGGCCUAUCAGCUUGUUGGUGGGGUGAUGGCCUACCAAGGCGACGACGGGUAGCCGGCCUGAGAGGGUGACCGGCCACACUGGGCCUGGGAUACGGCCCAGACUCCUACGGGAGGCAGCAGUGGGGAAUAUCGCACAAUGGGCGCAAGCCUGAUGCAGCGACGCCGCGUGAGGGAUGACGGCCUUCGGGUUGUAAACCUCUUUCAGCACCGACGAAGCGCAAGUGACGGUAGGUGCAGAAGAAGGACCGGCCAACUACGUGCCAGCCGCCGCCGUAA